GGUGUAUUGCUGACAGAGCAGCACCUUCAAUCCCUUGAAUCCUUCCUUCUUGAAACAGAUCUCAAGCCCACCAACUGUAAAUAGUGUGUCUGGAGAUGGAAGUGAGACAAUAUCAGUGAUGGAGGGAGAUUCUGCCACUUUAAAAACUGGCUUUACUAAAAUACAGACAAAUCAUCUGACAAUAUGGACAUUUAGACUUAACAAUUCAGAAAUUCCUAUCGCUGAAAUUCAUAAACAGAUCAUCUCUAUUUUUGAUAGUGGUGAGAAUGAGAGAUUCAGAGACAGACUAAAGAUAGAUAAUCAGACAGGAUCUCUGACCAUCACAAACAUCAACAAAUUACACUCUGGACUUUAUAAACUACAGAUCAUCAGUGGAGAUGUCAAACACAUCAGUUUCAGUAUCGUUGUCUAUGAUAUUCUGCCUGUUCCUGUUGUUAUCAGAGACUCUUCACAAAAUUCAUCAUCAUCAGUGUCCAGAUGUUCACUGCUGUGUUCAGUUGUGAAUGUGAGUGCUGUGACUCUCUCCUG